AGGUAAGCUACUAAGAGCGAAUGGUGGAUGCCUUGACUGGUAAAGGCGAUGAAGGACGUACUAGACUGCGAUAAGCUACGGGGAGCUGUCAAGAAGCUUUGAUCCGUAGAUUUCCGAAUGGGUCAACCCAAUGUAUAGAGAUAUACAUUACCUAUAUAGGAGCGAACGAGGGGAAUUGAAACAUCUUAGUACCCUCAGGAAAAGAAAUCAAUAGAGAUUGCGUCAGUAGCGGCGAGCGAAAGCGCAAGAGGGCAAACCCAGUGCUUGCACUGGGGGUUGUAGGACUGCAAUGUGCAAGAGGUAAGUUUAGCAGAACAUUCUGGAAAGUAUAACCAUAGAGGGUGAUAGUCCCGUAUGCGAAAAACAAACCUUAGCUAGCAGUAUCCUGAGUAGGGCGGGACACGAGGAAUCCUGUCUGAAUCCGGGUCGACCACGAUCCAACCCUAAAUACUAAUACCAGAUCGAUAGUGCACAAGUACCGUGAGGGAAAGGUGAAAAGAACUGAGGUGAUCAGAGUGAAAUAGAACCUGAAACCAUUUGCUUACAAUCAUUCAGAGCCCUAUGUAGCAAUACAGGGUGAUGGACUGCCUUUUGCAUAAUGAGCCUGCGAGUUGUGGUGUCUGGCAAGGUUAAGCAAACGCGAAGCCGUAGCGAAAGCGAGUCUGAAUAGGGCGCUUAGUCAGAUGCUGCAGACCCGAAACGAAGUGAUCUAUCCAUGAGCAAGUUGAAGCUAGUGUAAGAACUAGUGGAGGACUGAACCCAUAGGCGUUGAAAAGCCCCGGGAUGACUUGUGGAUAGGGGUGAAAGGCCAAUCAAACUUCGUGAUAGCUGGUUCUCUCCGAAAUAUAUUUAGGUAUAGCGUUGUGUCGUAAUAUAAGGGGGUAGAGCACUGAAUGGGCUAGGGCAUACACCAAUGUACCAAACCCUAUCAAACUCCGAAUACCUUAUAUGUAAUCACAGCAGUCAGGCGGCGAGUGAUAAAAUCCGUCGUCAAGAGGGAAACAACCCAGACUACCAGCUAAGGUCCCUAAAUCUUACUUAAGUGGAAAACGAUGUGAAGUUACUUAAACAACCAGGAGGUUGGCUUAGAAGCAGCCAUCCUUUAAAGAAAGCGUAAUAGCUCACUGGUCUAGUGAUUUUGCGCGGAAAAUAUAACGGGGCUAAAGUAAGUACCGAAGCUGUAGACUUAGUUUACUAAGUGGUAGGAGAGCGUUCUAUUUGCGUCGAAGGUAUACCGGUAAGGAGUGCUGGAGCGAAUAGAAGUGAGCAUGCAGGCAUGAGUAGCGAUAAUUAAUGUGAGAAUCAUUAACGCCGUAAACCCAAGGUUUCCUACGCGAUGCUCGUCAUCGUAGGGUUAGUCGGGUCCUAAGUCGAGUCCGAAAGGGGUAGACGAUGGCAAAUUGGUUAAUAUUCCAAUACCAACAUUAGUGUGCGAUGGAAGGACGCUUAGGGCUAAGGGGGCUAGCGGAUGGAAGUGCUAGUCUAAGGUCGUAGGAGGUUGUACAGGCAAAUCCGUAUAACAAUACUCCGAGAACUGAAAGGCUUUUUGAAGUCUUCGGAUGGAUAGAAGAACCCCUGAUGCCGUCGAGCCAAGAAAAGUUUCUAAGUUUAGCUAAUGUUGCCCGUACCGUAAACCGACACAGGUGGGUGGGAUGAGUAUUCUAAGGCGCGUGGAAGAACUCUCUUUAAGGAACUCUGCAAAAUAGCACCGUAUCUUCGGUAUAAGGUGUGGUUAGCUUUGUAUUAGGAUUUACUCCGAAAGCAAGGAAACUUACAACAAAGAGUCCCUCCCGACUGUUUACCAAAAACACAGCACUCUGCUAACUCGUAAGAGGAUGUAUAGGGUGUGACGCCUGCCCGGUGCUCGAAGGUUAAUUGAUGGGGUUAGCAUUAGCGAAGCUCUUGAUCGAAGCCCGAGUAAACGGCGGCCGUAACUAUAACGGUCCUAAGGUAGCGAAAUUCCUUGUCGGUUAAAUACCGACCUGCAUGAAUGGCGUAACGAGAUGGGAGCUGUCUCAAAGAGGGAUCCAGUGAAAUUGUAGUGGAGGUGAAAAUUCCUCCUACCCGCGGCAAGACGGAAAGACCCCGUGGACCUUUACUACAGCUUGACACUGCUACUUGGAUAAGAAUGUGCAGGAUAGGUGGGAGGCUUUGAGUAUAUGACGCCAGUUGUAUAUGAGCCAUUGUUGAGAUACCACUCUUUCUUAUUUGGGUAGCUAACCAGCUUGAGUUAUCCUCAAGUGGGACAAUGUCUGGUGGGUAGUUUGACUGGGGCGGUCGCCUCCCAAAUAAUAACGGAGGCUUACAAAGGUUGGCUCAGAACGGUUGGAAAUCGUUCGUAG
rnacentral:rRNA from 1 species